rnacentral:rRNA from 1 species
AUGCACCCUCUAUGUAAUCUACUGAUUCAUCAUUUUCCUUUCCUUACCAAGCAAAAUACUCUUGCCAUUUAUUCUCCCCCUUUUCCUGGAGGAAAAAAAAGAGGGAAACAACCUGCAUGCAUCCAUUUGAAUUUCGUUUUUGCGUCACCCAGGCUGCGUUUAUUGCUUGUUAUGAUCUGCCGAUUACGAUUUGAUUUCCUAUAUGCUGUGCUUUCCAAAUAUGUCUUGGCCUACAGCGAGACUAAUGUCAAUGUUUUCCUUUGUUUCGGCAUAUUAUUCAUCCUGCAGAUCAGCCACAAGAUAACAGCAUAG